UGGGUUAAGGAUCCGGCGAUGCUGUGAGCUGUGGUAUCGGUCACAGAUGAGGUUCGGGUCUGAUGCUGCUGUGGCUGUGGUGUAGGCUGGCAGCUACAGCUCCGAUUCAGCCCCUAGCCUGGGAACCUCCACAUGCCGUGGGCGUGGCCCUAAAAUGACCAAAAAAAAAAAAAAAUGUGCAUCAUGCAGUGGAUUAAUCCCAACAUCACAAAAAAUCCAGGUCUGAUGGUCUUGACUAUGCUUUCAUUUCUGUAUCAUCAUUAUGCUUUUCUUUCUUUUUUUUUUUCCUUGGUAUCACUGAGAAAGCGUACCCGAACAGUCUAUUCUGGGGAGCGCUGAGAGCUCUCAGCUUUCAUAGACCACUUUUCAUAAUGAUAGUGCGUGUGAGAUGUAGUGUCUCAGGGCUCUGCUCUCCAUCAGACAUUAUUGUGCUAACCUGGUGAUGGGACAUGGGCCACAGCCCACCAGUGCAGGGGUAUUCAGGCAGCGGUCUUAGUGUUUGUUCCCAGGCUUAGUUUGAAGCUAGCUUUACUGAGCCAUUGCAGCAUCAUCUGCCUGAGCAAGGGAGUUCCAGUUAAAUGUCUUCUCUCUACCUGACUUUGUCUUGUUCUCUGUUCCAGCAGCGGCUGCAGGAAGCGCAUCUCUGAGAACUUGGCGCUGAGUGAUGAAGGCAAGACAAAGACCAUAGAGCCAUUUGGUGCAUCCCUGCCGCUGUCACUCCAUAUCCUGGACUUGCAGUGAAAGGAGUUUGAAGGUCAGUACGGCCCCCGGCCCUGCCUAUGGCCUGAGGACCACUGCAUAAGACCACGAGGGGUAUUCUUGAUAGAAUUUGACUUUUAGAAAAUUUUAUAUGUGGUGAAUUUGGCCUUGGGGUGCAGAGAGAGAGUUUCAGAAUUAAUAGUGGGAGGUGCUCUUGGUAUUACUCAUUUGCCCCUUUCCGCUAUUUCCCCAUCUCUGGGUAUCAGGAAUUUUAUUGAGCUGAUUCAACAUACUGGAAAUUGCAAUGUCUUGAUGACAAAGAAAUUUGUCUUUUUUACUUUUUUUCUCAAGAAAUAGAAGCACGGGGGUAGACAGUCCUAGGCUGGUUGGCGGCUCAUCUCAUCUUCCGGAGGCCGGGUUCCUUCUAUUUUCCUUUCCUACUGAGCUAGGGCCUGGUUUUCAAGGUCACCUCAUGACCCAAGAUGGUAGUUAGAAUUCCAACCCUCUCAUUCACAGCCUAGGCUGGGCACCAACAUUGCCCAAACUCUCCAUCCCUGUUUAUGGAAUACUCCUGGGAAUCCUGCCCAAUAGUUUCAGCAUCCUUGAGUUAAUCAGAACUGAGCCACGUGGCUGCACCCCGCUGCAAAGAAGGCUGAUCCUGGGGUUCUGUUACUGAAGAAGAAGGGAAGAAUCCACAUGGGUUAGGCAACCAGGCAUCUCGGCCAUACCGUUUGUGCUUUGCACCCAUGCCACGCGGUUUUAGAACCUGGGAUCCUGCCCAUGAUGGUACUGAUCUCCCCCCUUCUACUGAAAAGCCUGACGCUGUGACGGAACCGCAUCUUACCUGCCAGGACACCAGUGAAGAGUGGGGGGAAGCACGUUCCUCAGGUAUUACUGGUGCCAGAGUCAUGUAGCCCAACACCAAACGGUACCUGAGCCCUGCCCUCCCGGAAAACAGUAAGGAGGAUUCCGGGUCCACCCACACCCCUCACCUUGUUCUGGAAAAAGACAGUACAAAGAACCACUCUUUUCCAUACGCCUUAGAUGAGACCCGCAGGUGCUCCCCUUGUUACCUGAUGACAAGGCCAGACGCAGACCGUCCGGAUUCCCAUUCUUUGCCUCUCAAAGGAUUAGCUGAACGCUUGUAUCCACACUGACCCCCUGAAACAACAUGCAUGUUACCCAAACUUUGGUUAAGGUUCCUUCCUUCCCCCACCAUCCUGGCCGUCGGCCCAGCCUCAGCCUGAGCCAGCAGACGGCCCUGAGAACAGGCGGGCCUCCAGGUGAAACCUCCGGUUUACGCUCUGAUCACACCAGCCACCAGCUUUUCAUCGCACUUGCGCCCAUCUGGUCUUUCCAGCCUCGCUUUCCCCCCUCUAUAAAGAAAAUCUUUUCUUUCUGACUCUGAGCUGUGAGCGGAUUUUAUAGACAGUGUUCCCCCUUUUCCAAUAGCCCCACCCCAUCCCCUCAUACGUUGCAAUGAUCCUUUUGAAUAAAAUCCUUCCUCUGGAUUUGCUUGGAUUUGAUAGCCUCUGAACAUCGGGGCGUUGGACUGGCCCCUGAGGACAUGGGUGAGUGAGGAGGCUGCGGGCAGGUUUCUCUUCCCCAUCACUGCCAGGAAAGCUGAAUCCCUGCUCCCCCAGGCAGACUGUGUUCCCCUAGCACUCUUCCCAAGGACCCCGAGCCCUGGGAGGGGCAGUUGGCACCAGGACCUGGAAUAGCCUCCACAGCUGCAAAUAGCUGUCACCGUAGAGCCAGGAGUUGCGCAGAGCUGCUGCGGCGUGGUAGAAAGUGUUAGUUGUCAAAAUGAUCGGGAGGCCCUGGGUGAAGCAGGGUUGAAGAGGCGUCUUCACCGCAGGAUUUUCUCAGGCACUUCGUGGAACUCUCAAGAACAGGCUGUAGUAUUCAUGGCUUCUCCAAAUUCUUUGACCAUGUGGUGCUUUUAUUUGCCAAACACUUAGGAAUGUCUCGUGGAACAGUUUGGGAAAUGCUCUUUUAAAGCCUUCCAUAUCUUCUCCUGCGACUGCUUAAUGCACCGUGCAGAAGAUAAGCUUCGCCUUGAGCUGUGUGAGGGGAGAGGAGAUUGAUGCUUCGGAGCCAGUGGCCAAUGUCACAGGUUGGCGUCAGAUAUAUUUGAGUGUCAGGCAUCCUCUCUUUAAGUAGGAGGUGUGCUACGUAGCCUCUAUCCUGGGGGAAAUGCAGUAAAUGGGUCAGAUUUCCCAACAGGAGGAUGCUGUGUUUAAGACACAUUUGAUUUACAGCGGCUUUCGCUGUGACCUUGGCUUUCCAGUUUGCAAGUAAUGUCACCAGGGUAUCUGACUAAUGCACGGUUGUGAAUUUUUCAUGGCAAGGCAUGUAUUUGUGCUUUUGGCCUCCUGGGCAAGGAAAAAAGCAUCGCAUGUCAAGAGCAACAUAAAUUGUUAGGUAAAUCUUUAUUCCCCCCAGACCUCCCUGUGAAGUCCCAUUAUUUGUGUCCCACUCAACCAUUCAUUCAUUUACAAACAUUUAUUGAGCAACUUCCAUUGCUAAGUACUGGGAGGGAUGCAGGGAUGUUUAAACCGACAUGGGGGCGUAAGUGUUCGGGCAGCAGGUGUGAACAUGCAGAGAAGCCGAAGGGCUUCAAGAGGAGAUCCCUCGUUGGAGUGAGCAUCCAAGCAUCUCGAGAGCCGACACUGAACAUGCUUAGCUUGUAAAAAUAAGCUUCUUGGUCCUGAAAGACUCCCCUGGAGGGAUACCCUGUGGGUCAAAUGCAAGGUGGCUUGUUGGGUUCAAAUCCUGGCUGUCUCCUAAAGCUUCUGGACUUCCUCUCUCUUUCUGCAAAAGGAGAGAGUUGAAACAGAUACUACUUAGAGUUUCUGCAGCUCCAAAACGAUACAGUUAGGAGUUCAUGCUCUGGCGUAGGGGGUUAAAAAUCUGACUGCAGUGACUCAGCUCGCUGUGGAGGCGUGGGUUAAAUCCUUGGCCGAGCACAGUGCGUUAAAUGGAUCUGGUGUUACUGCAGCUGAGGCAUAGGUCAUAGCUGUGGCUCGGAUUUAGUCCCUGGCCCCGGAAACUUCCAUAUGCCACAGGUGUGGCCAUGUUAAAAAAAUACAGUUUAGAGAUAGAGAUAUACACAGAACUAUAGAUACACAUGUACUAGAGGUAUAAUAGACACAUAUAAUAAACACACAUGUGGGCAUAGUAGGGGGCUAGAUUCCUUCCAGCUAGAAUAUGUAGGUAAGACCUGGGGCUAUAGAAAGAUGGCCUUUAUGUGGCUGUUCUAAGAGACCCAAGGGCUAGAUUUGAAGAGGUUAUCUGCUCAGUGGCACCCAUCCCAGCUGGGAAGUGGCAGCACCAACUUGACGCCACUCUGCCCUUCUGCCCCCCACCCCACCCCCAUGGUCUAUAACCCAAUGUGAUAUGUUUGGCAGAGACUGGAAUUUCACUCCACGAGCUGCUGCUGCAGCAACGUCAAGGUGCACCUCAUCCAUCAGCCAGGAGAGUGAUGACUUCCUCCUGGUCCCCCAUGCACAGUUGUCCCCGUCCCUGUUGGGUGCCCUCCAAAUCCUGAUAUGAAUUUCAGACAGCCUUUUUUUUUUCUUUCUGGCUUCUACAUGCAUCUGGAAAAGAGUACUCUUGGCUGGUUUACAGCGCCUUGUUCAGACCCGUUAACUGUCUUCGCGCCCUAACCAGCCCCUGCCAAUAAUAGUUGUGUAGAAUUCAAAUGGUGUGAAAGACCUUGGAUGUUGGAGAGGAUAAUUUCUCCCUGUGAAAUUGCACUCUCUCUCACCCCUCAGGGCUUCGGCAUCAAACUGCCUCUCUCUCCCCCUUUCUCUUCCCCCUCUCUUUUCAUACUGAGGUGGUGCUAUUUGCUUGUUUGGUUUUUUUCCCUUUCCCUCAGGAAUAAGAAACGUGCCUUGCUUUGUAUAGAAAACCAAAUUAUUGAAUUACAAGAAAAAAAAAGAUCUAUUAUUCUUUCUGAAUGAAGACAAAUGUAGAGCUUGUGGUAUAAUGCAUCAAUUUGAGUAGUAAAUACAGAAAACAGAAAUGAUAUUUUUAUAGAGGAAAGGAAUAAAGAUAUCACAUGACCACAGAGAACAAUAAAGAUGAAAAAGGCAGUCAGGGUUAUAAAACUGAUCAGUUAAACUUGGGCCCAAGGCUAUUCCCGCCCAGGGACGUGGUGGGUGGAUCUGUACAUGAGGGGCAAAGACAGCGUUGGGGUUUGUGCAGCUGCUCGAUACCCGUAACCAUGGGAUUCAGCUCUGGGUACCUCAACAACAAAAUAUUGUCC
rnacentral:lncRNA from 1 species